GAUGAAGAACGCAGCGAAAUGCGAUAAGUAAUGUGAAUCGCAGAAUUCAGUGAAUCAUCGAAUCUUUGAACGCACAUUGCGCCCCUUGGUAUUCCGAGGGGCAUGCCUGUUCGAGCGUCAUUAUAACCCCUCAAGCUCAGCUUGGUGUUGGGGCCUGCUGCACUGGCAGCCCUUAAAAUCAGUGGCGGCGCCAUCUGGCUCUAAGCGUAGUAAUUCUUCUCGCUAUGGAGUCCUGGUGGAUGCUUGCCAUCAACCCCCAAUUUUUCUAUGGUUGACCUCGGAUCAGGUAGGGAUACCCGCUGAACUUAAGCAUAUCAAUAAGCGGAGGA
rnacentral:misc_RNA from 1 species